AUUGAACGCUGGCGGCAGGCCUAACACAUGCAAGUCGAGCGGAAGAACGGAACUUGCUCCUGGAUUCAGCUGGCGACGGGCGGGUAAGUCCGAGAAACCUGCCAGGCUAUUUGGGAUAACGUCCGAAAGCGGGCACUAAUACCGUAUACGUCCAUACGGAGAACGUGGGGGAUCAUCGGACCUUACGCUAUUAGCUGAGCCUAGGUCGGAUUAGCUAGUUGGUUGGGUAAAGGCCUACCAAGGCGACGAUCCGUAGCUGGUCUGAGAGGAUGAUCAGUCACACUGGAACUGAGACACGGUCCAGACUCCUACGGGAGGCAGCAGUGGGGAAUAUUGGACAAUGGGCGAAAGCCUGAUCCAGCCAUGCCGCGUGUGUGAAGAAGGUCUUCGGAUUGUAAAGCCCUUUUAUUGGGGAGGAAGAGCAGUAAGUUAAUACCUUGCUGUUUUGACGGUACCAAAAGAAUAAGCACCGGCUAACUUCGUG
rnacentral:rRNA from 1 species